GAGGGUGAUCGGCCACAUUGGAACUGAGACACGGUCCAAACGCCUACGGGAGGCAGCAGUGGGGAAUAUUGCACAAUGGGCGAAAGCCUGAUGCAGCAACGCCGCGUGAGUGAUGAAGGCCGUCGGGUCGUAAAACUCUGUCCUCAAGGAAGAUAAUGACGGUACUUGAGGAGGAAGCCCCGGCUAACUACGUGCCAGCAGCCGCGGUAAUACGUAGGGGGCUAGCGUUAUCCGGAUUUACUGGGCGUA
rnacentral:rRNA from 1 species